AUUGAACAGCGACGCCAUGUUGUAAAUUCCUCUACAAGUAGAACAGUUUAGUCUACAAAUUAUCAAAGACAUCCUAUCUCCCUGCGAUAAGAUGCGGUCAAGAAAGAGCGGUAGAGGUGUCAGGAUUCCGGCUCGUUUCAGACGGAUGAGGGAUGAGAUCAAAAAAGUGGAGCAAAGCAUCUAAAGUGUGGGAAUAGCUGUCGAGUUGGGAGACAGCGGAAUACCGGCUGCAGCACGCCUGAGACAUUCCUGUGCCAUUGUUGGAGGAGUGUAUGGUGGAACCCAUUCUGCCUGGCAAGGUGACCAGGGUGGGGGAUGCGGACUUUGUCCAGGUGAAGAUCGUGAAACAUUGCCUGCGGGGUUGCCUUCAGCUCAUCUCUGCCCCACUGAACUACUUUUAUAAGAGCUAAUGGAUGUUGGGGGGGGGAUAAUUGUCUAGAUUUAAAAAACAGUCAUAUGUUUUUUUUCUUAACAGCAUGUAGACAAUAUAAUGUAUAUAGAAAUGUCUCUAUUUGUUGAUUUCAUGUUUGUUACUGUUAGUUAUCUUGUAAAGGCUAGCACACACUGCCAUCUGUGAGUUAGGUCACUUUUUGUAUCAGUUACUAGUAUUUUGUUGUAACAUAAUGAUGUGUUCUUUAUGCUUCAUAAUAUUAAAAAAAUUCUGUCAAGACCCA